rnacentral:rRNA from 1 species
GACAGCAGCAGCCGCGGGAAUACGGAGGGUGCAAGCGUUACUCGGAAUCACUGGGCGUAAAGGACGCGUAGGCGGAUUAUCAAGUCUCUUGUGAAAUCUAACGGCUUAACCGUUAAACUGCUUGGGAAACUGAUAAUCUAGAGUAAGGGAGAGGCAGAUGGAAUUCUUGGUGUAGGGGUAAAAUCCGUAGAGAUCAAGAAGAAUACCCAUUGCGAAAGCGAUCUGCUGGAACUUAACUGACGCUAAUGCGUGAAAGCGUGGGGAGCAAACAGGAUUAGAUACCCGCGUAGUCCCUGUCUCUUAUAC